GUGGGGAAUAUUGGACAAUGGGGGCUACCCUGAUCCAGCCAUGCCGCGUGAGUGAUGACGGCCUUCGGGUUGUAAAGCUCUUUUACAUGGGAAGAUAAUGACGGUACCAUGAGAAUAAGCACCGGCAAACUUCGUGCCAGCAGCCGCGGUAAUACGAAGGGUGCAAGCGUUGUUCGGAAUUACUGGGUGUAAAGGGCGUGUAGGCGGAUUAGUUAGUUAGUGGUGAAAUCCUUGGGCUCAACCUGAGAACUGCCAUUGAUACAGCUAGUCUGGAGUAUUAGAGAGGAUGACGGAAUAUCCAGUGUAGAGGUGAAAUUCGAAGAUAUUGGAUAGAACACCGGUGGCGAAGGCGGUCAUCUGGCUAAUUACUGACGCUGAGGCGCGAGAGCGUGGGGAGCAAACAGGAUUAGAAACCCCGGUAGUCC
rnacentral:rRNA from 1 species